AGCAGCCGCGGUAAUUCCAGCUCCAAUAGCGUAUAUUAAAGUUGUUGCAGUUAAAAAGCUCGUAGUUGAAUUUCGGGAUCAGUACGCCGGUCGUGCCUUCGGUAUGCACUGGUGUCACUGGUUUCUCCCCUCUGAAGAACCAUCAUGCCAUUCAGUUGGUGUGGCGGGGAAUCAGGACUGUUACUUUGAAAAAAUUAGAGUGUUUAAAGCAGGCUCGCGCUUGAAUACAUUAGCAUGGAAUAAUGAAAUAGGACGUUUGACCCUAUUUUGUUGGUUUCUAGGAUCGACGUAAUGAUUAAUAGGGAUAGUUGGGGGCAUUAGUAUUCAAUUGUCAGAGGUGAAAUUCUUGGAUUUAUUGAAGACUAACUACUGCGAAAGCAUUUGCCAAGGAUGUUUUCAUUAAUCAAGAACGAAAGUUAGGGGAUCGAAGACGAUCAGAUACCGUCGUAGUCUUAACCAUAAACUAUGCCGACUAGGGAUCGGAUGAUGUUAAUUUUUUAAUGACUCAUUCGGCGCCUUA
rnacentral:misc_RNA from 1 species